CUCACUCCUGGACGAUCGAUUCAGGCUCAGCGUUAGGGAACACUUCUGCACGUUUAGGGUGUCCAGAUGUGGAAUAAGCUCCCUGGCAGAGGAGACUGGACGGUCACCUCGCCGGGGUUGCCUGACCCCACGUGUCUUUCCUGCUGGGUGCAGGGGGCUGGACCCGACGAUCCUCCGAGGUCGCUUCCGCCCUGACAAGCUGCGCACCUCCAUCCUUGGAAGCUUUGAGGAGCAGGCUGGAUGGACACACGGCUGGGAUGAUCCUGCCUCGAGCAGGGGGCUGGACUGGAUGCGACCUCGUGAGGUCCCCUCCGGCCCGAAGUGCUAUGAUUCACCUUAGCCGUGACCGGGUCCUGUGAAUGAUUGAGGAGAGUGGGAAGAGAAGGAGGACAAUGGCAGAGAAGAGGCAGCUGUUCAUGGAAAUGAGGGCCCAAAAUUUUGAUGUCAUCAGACUUUCAACAUAUCGGACAGCCUGCAAGCUGAGAUUUGUGCAAAAGAGAUGCAAUCUUCAUCUUGUUGAUAUCUGGAAUAUGAUUGAAGCCUUCAGAGACAAUGGCCUUAACACAUUGGAUCACAACACAGAGAUCAAUGUGUCUCGACUGGAAACAAUCAUUUCAUCAAUCUAUUACCAGCUAAAUAAACGCCUUCCUUCUACUCACCAGAUCAGCGUGGAGCAAUCCAUCAGCCUUCUUCUUAACUUCAUGAUAGCAGCAUAUGACAGUGAGGGCCAUGGGAAGUUGACGGUAUUUUCAGUUAAAGCUAUGUUAGCAACCAUGUGUGGUGGGAAAAUACUGGACAAACUAAGAUAUGUUUUCUCCCAAAUAUCUGAUUCCAAUGGACUGAUGAUAUUUACAAAGUUUGAUCAGUUUUUGCGAGAAGUGUUAAAGCUCCCUACAGCAGUAUUUGAAGGGCCUUCUUUUGGAUACACGGAGCAUUCUGUGCGGACGUGUUUCCCACAACAAAAAAAGAUAAUGCUAAACAUGUUUUUAGACACAUUGAUGGCCGAUCCACCUCCUCAGUGCCUUGUAUGGCUACCUCUCAUGCACAGACUUGCUCAUGUUGAAAAUGUCUUCCAUCCUGUGGAAUGUUCAUAUUGCCGGUGUGAGAGCAUGAUGGGUUUCCGGUACCGAUGCCAGCAGUGCCACAACUACCAGCUCUGUCAAAACUGUUUUUGGCGUGGCCAUGCAAAUGGCCCUCAUAGCAACCAGCAUCAGAUGAAGGAGCAUUCCUCUUGGAAAUCACCUGCAAAGAAGCUGAGCCAUGCAAUUAGUAAAUCUUUUGGUUGCGUACCAACUAGAGAGCCGCCGCAUCCUGUCUUUCCUGAACAGCCAGAGAAGCCACUUGAUCUUGCUCAUAUAGUUCCUCCUCGGCCUCUGACUAACAUGAAUGACACCAUGGUUACCCACAUGUCCUCUGGAGCACCAACUCCAACGAAAAGGUUACAGUACGGCCUGGAUGCUGGCAGUCGAUUAGCUGACGAGCAUGCACUGAUAGCGAGCUAUGUGAACCGGCUGCAGAACGGUACACGUGUCUUGGACAGCCCGAGCAGACUGGAUGAGGAGCACAGACUGAUUGCCAGAUAUGCCGCCAGGCUUGCUGCAGAAGCUGGAAAUGCACCUCGUCCACCGACAGACUUGGGAUUCAAUUUUGAUGCCAACAAACAACAAAGGCAGCUGAUAGCCGAACUGGAAAACAAGAACAGAGAGAUACUGCAGGAAAUCCAGCGCCUCCGACUGGAGCACGAGCAAGCCUCGCAGCCCACCCCAGAGAAAGCGCAGCAAAACCCGACUCUGCUCGCAGAACUCAGGCUCCUACGGCAGAGGAAGGACGAACUGGAGCAGAGGAUGUCGGCGCUUCAAGAAAGCAGGAGGGAGCUGAUGGUGCAGCUUGAAGGGCUAAUGAAACUACUCAAAGAAGAAGAGCAAAAGCAGGCAGCGCAAGCAGCAGGCUCCCCGCACUCCUCGCCUACCCACGGAGCAAGUCGCUCGAUGCCAAUGCCUGUCAGAUCCACAUCGGCCGGCUCCACCCCAACGCACGUGCCUCAAGACUCGCUCGCAGGAGUUGGGGGAGACGUGCAGGAAGCUUUUGCACAAGGGACGAGGAGGAACCUCCGGAACGACUUACUGGUAGCAGCGGAUUCAAUCACUAAUACCAUGUCGUCUUUGGUGAAGGAGCUGCAUUCAGCAGAGGAAGGAGAGGAAGAAGAAGCGGAAAAGAUGCAGAAUGGAAAGGACAGAGGUAACGAGCACGAGCCGGGCGCCCCGCUGCACAGCGCUCGUGCAUGGGGAGCGUGUCAGCGAGCUCGCCACACCAGCAGGCCGGGAUGCAGGGGCUUGCAGCAUGCAAGGCUUGGGUUUCGACAGCCUAAGGAGGGUCAUUUUCUGUAGCCCCCCACUUCCAGCCGGGCCGGGAGGCAUGGUCGCCUCACUGUUAGAUGGGAGGACGCGAGCUGCACAGCCGUUCAAGCACAGAAGGCCAUGAAACGAGCUCGCGUGCUAGAGACGUCUCCACAUCCUUCGGAAGAGGCAUGUUUCAGCCAACACAUUCGCCAUCGUGCAGCCGUGACGGAUCACAACCCACCGCCUGCAGACAGGGGCAGGGACCCGACUGAAGGGCUUUCUCCGGGGGCAUUUUCUUCAUAGAUCCUUGCAUGUGCGAUUUCCCCUGGUGUUUAACAGCGCUAGCCGGACAGUGCCCCGUCGAGCCCUCGCCGGCCCGCGGGAGGCUGGAAGCAGCAAGCUGCGCUCCCGUCAAGCGUGCCAGCCUCCUACCCGGACGGUGCCAUCAUCUCAUCACGUGCUGGCUGUUCCCUCAUGCUCUUUGACCCCCGGCAUGCAUGUAAAAACGGAUUUAGCCCCAUUCGAGCUUUCCUGUAACACAAAGGGAACUCUGAGCGCGGAGCCUCCAAAAAAAAAAAAACAAAAAAACCACACUUUCUAAAAAUACCCUCUGUCUAGUGCUGUUUGGUUGCCAUAGCGUUUGCCGUUGCACGGGUGUGCGAGCGAACGGCAGGGCCGGCCGAGGGGCGAGAGAUGCGCGGCAGGCCGUCGACCCGGAGGAGAUUCCCGGCUCCGUCUCGCGACUCGCGGACGCUCUGGCGUAAAAAGGAGGAGGAAUGGCAGUGGCGCAGGCCGAGGGCUGCCUCUCCCGUUGCAUUGCAAUCACUUCCCGUCACUAGAGGUUUUAAUUUCUACCCCGGUGCUUGGGUACGGCAUUUUUAGCGGAAGGCGCCGAGAGCCCGAAUGCGUCCAUAAAUAUUUAUCGCAGGUGACGAGCGGAGGGAGAAACCCCGAAACCGAGUCCCGGCUUUUCUUCCUGCCUGGGCCCACCCGCGACGCCGGCGCUCGGAAGAAGGGGCUCGCCGGGGAGAGGAAAACCAGACGGACGUGGUGGCCGCAGG